GGGUCAGUAGCUCAACUGGUAGAGCGACAGACUCCAAAUCUGUAGGUUGAGGGUUCGAGUCCUUCCUGGCCUGCCA
rnacentral:tRNA from 1 species